CCAUGACACACAUCCUUUAAAUACCCUAGUCAGGCAAUUGGGCAGUAGCCAUCUACAGAAGCCUCCAGGGGAGAAACUAAUAGACUUAUUUAAUGUUUAUUUGUUUUGCUUCUGUUGGUUAUUAUUCAUUUUGUUCUACUUUUGAUGUUUUUUCUUUUCCACUAAGAGACCAAGGUCCAGGUAAUCAGCAGCAGGUAGGACUAGGCUUUUAACAAUCAGAGUGUAGCCACUUGUGUAUUACCUACACCAGGGGUCGGCAACCUUUUCCACUCUAAGAGCCAUUUGGAUCAGUUUCCCACAAAAAUUAAAACACAGGGAGCCACAACUCCCUUUGGUGUCACGGUACCCCCAGUGGGCCCCUCCUCCUCAUCAGGUUCACCUGAGGACACCAGCUGCGCCUCCUCCUCAUCAUCAGCCGGUGGGCUCUUAAGGAGAACCAGGACCUGUACUCGACGCUAGUUCGUUGUACUCCACGGAUCACGACCACAUCUGUCACGCUCUGGACUCUGACUCACCUUCCCUCUGGUCCCUCCUCGUCGCCCCUCUGGACAUCCUCCUGGAAACACGGUGUUCGCCGCCAAGACCCUCCAACCAUCCUCAAAACGUUCUCACCUGGAACUCUGUCCUAACUCCAUUAAAUCCAUUACUACUCAUCCUCCUCGCCUGCCGAGUAUUCCUUCCGGGUUCCAGCAUCUGGGUCUGCCACAGUCUCGCUAGUCAUGACAUUUGGGAAAACUCAGUGUUUCCAGUCAACGGCAUCAUUUCUCUCGUUUUUAAAGUUGGUGGAGAUGUUCAUAUUUUUUUGUAUCCUCUGUUAUUCAAUGGGUUCUGAUGAGAACAUUUUCCCAAAAGGCCAGAAAACUGGCAAACAUGUCAUGAUUAACCUGCAGUAAAUCCGCUUCUCCAAUAGAUUUUUGUCAACAAACAACUUUUUUCUCAUCUCGAUCAGGAUGUUUUGGGACAAAAGCUGCGUGUUUAUUCUGGGAUGUCUCGCUGCAUUUGAGACUUUGUUUACUAAUUUCUCAUUACAUUUAAAUUGUUCUGGUAAAGUCGUUGAAAGCGAACAAAUCUGCCCAGGGGCCAUUAAACUUACUGUUUUCUUCGGGAACUUCAAUUUUCUCCAGAUUCUCCCUCCUUGUCCUGCCUGGCUCGGAACAUUGUUGGGAUUACACGCCAGCGGGAGUCGUGGCGGUGACGUCAGCCGAUAGUCACAUAGAACUUUACUUAGAAAAUGUCUACAUUUACAUUUUAUUUUUUUGACCUAAUACUCAGCCCUUUAGUUUUUUGUUUUGCAGACACGCCCCCUCUGCGCGUUCAUGCUGCUGUCUUCUUCCUGCCCGCUGGCACAUCCCAACAGGGUUAAAGGCACCACAACAACCUUCAAACCUAAUAGCUAUAAUACAAAACCACAAAGAGCCGCAGCACAGGGAUAAAAGAGCCACAUACCGCAUACACUUACCAUACUUAACAAUGGUACUUUCCAUUUUCAUGGCGUCCCAUAAGGUGGCCGCACAAGCCACAAGGGGAACUGCAAGAAACACCUGCGCUCCCUUAAGAUGUAGCAGCACUUGUCUAUGACCCUCUACGGACUCGGACAAUCCAAAAACCUGCUGCACCUGUACGAGUCAACCCGCCACACAGGCGCACGUGACUAGGGCUUAAGGGAAGGCAGCAUUAUUUGAAUGUGUUUGCAUAAACCAGGGGAGUUUAAGGUGCGUCACAGGGGACAACCAAGCUAAUUCUGUUAAAUACAUCUUGACUGCUUGUAAGUCCAGAGUUUUGUCUUGUGCUGUUUAUUUUAUGUUCCAUGUCAAGCUGUAUAAG